rnacentral:rRNA from 1 species
UUAUGGAGAGUUUGAUCCUGGCUCAGGAUGAACGCUGGCGGCGUGCCUAAUACAUGCAAGUCGAGCGAACAGACGAGGAGCGUGCUCCUCUGACGUUAGCGGCGGACGGGUGAGUAACACGUGGGUAACCUACCUAUAAGACUGGGAUAACUCCGGGAAACCGGGGCUAAUACCGGAUAA